UAAGGAAUAUUGGUCAAUGGACGCAAGUCUGAACCAGCCAUGCCGCGUGAAGGAUGAAGGUCCUCUGGAUUGUAAACUUCUUUUAUCUGGGACGAAAACGGGAUUUUUAUCUCAAUUGACGGUACCAGAGGAAUAAGCACCGGCUAACUCCGUGCCAGCAGCCGCGGUAAUACGGAGGGUGCGAGCGUUAUCCGGAUUUACUGGGUUUAAAGGGUGCGUAGGUGGGCUUAUAAGUCAGUGGUGAAAUCUCCGAGCUUAACUUGGAAACUGCCGUUGAUACUAUAGGUCUUGAAUUAUCUGGGGGUAAGCGGAAUAUGUCAUGUAGCGGUGAAAUGCUUAGAUAUGACAUAGAACACCAAUUGCGAAGGCAGCUUACUACUUAUAAAUUGACGCUGAGGCACGAAAGCGUGGGGAUCAAAC
rnacentral:rRNA from 1 species